GCUCCAGUGGCCUAGUGGUUAGAGCGUCCGCCUCAGAUGCAGGAGGUCAGGGGUUCGAUCCACGGUCGAGUCA